rnacentral:rRNA from 1 species
UACGGAGGGUGCAAGCGUUAUCCGGAUUCACCGGGUUUAAAGGGUGCGUAGGUGGGCAGGUAAGUCAGUGGUGAAAUCUCCGGGCUUAACCCGGAAACUGCCAUUGAUACUAUCAGUCUUGAAUACCGUGGAGGUAAGCGGAAUAUGUCAUGUAGCGGUGAAAUGCUUAGAUAUGACAUAGAACACCAAUUGCGAAGGCAGCUUACUACCCGAAUAUUGACACUGAGGCACGAAAGCGUGGGGAUCAAACAGG